rnacentral:lncRNA from 1 species
GGUGGACUGUCUCUUUGCUAAGGGAUUUCCUCAGCAGAAUACAAGUGGAAGUACAAGCCAGCUUGAAGAGAAUGGCUUGCACAGGGUGGUGUGGCCAAGAUUGGAGCCUACUGGAGAGGUGACACUCCUACACACAGUUUCUGGAGGACAGAAAAGGCACAGCAGAUAAUGCUCAGCUGCAAUAUGCUGGCAGAGCUCCUGGAGCUUCACAGCCAGGAGGAAGCAAAACCCUGGCAGCAGCUUGAGCUCACACACUGCAAAAGGCUCCUAGUGCUGUUGAACCUCAGUGCCUUGACAUUCCUGUCCAGAUGUUCCUGCUCAACACAGCAGUUGCUGUGCUCCAGAAACUGUGUGUACCAGCUCCACCUGUCCAACAGUCUUUCACUCUUUCAGGUGCAAGAGAGCACGAGUCGGCUGUGUUGACUGACCUGUAGACGCGCGUGCUGCAGGCGUUCGCACGGGGCGAGUACGAAGCUGCGGUCGCCCCGCCGGCACAUCGCGGCCGACGUUAAUCCUACACAAACACAGUCCUUCAUCCUGCUGGUCAGCAAACAACAGAGCACAACACACACCAGCAUCCAGGACUCGUGCAAAAAAAGAAGAAAAAGAAAAAGAAAUUGCUAGAUGGUGUUUCUCAGAAGCACAGAAGCACAAGUCAACAAGAAGAUAGCUGCAAUUAUUCUUGUAAGUAAUGCCUUCUGUUGUCUUGAUGUGGCCGCAGUUGAGCAAAGCAAACAAAGUCAGCCCAAUUUUCUUAAAACCAGAUUAAUCUGCAAGGCACAAAGUAAUAAAGGAAUGAUUUUUAUUAAUAAACUGAGUGUUAGCAGCUGUCAGAAGAAUGAAUGUGUCACACACAGAGGUAAACUCCCACAGCAAAACUAGAUGUAACAUUUCCUAUCUGUGUUUCAUCCUCACAGGAAAAGCCUUUCUUCGCAAGAUCUUCUGGAAGAGAGAUGGUAAGAGACAUGAAAACUGAAGGAUCCGAGCACAGCUCUCCAGUAGCUCCCUCUGUACGUAGAUGGUCGCAGAGACAAAAGGUCAAGUCCACUUUUGGAGGGAGCUUGGUGAUGUUUACCACUAACGUUACACCACCUUCAGGUCGCACAGCGCGGCGUGGCCAAGAUCUGACAGCUGACGGCGAUCGCACGGUGGAUGGCGCCCCUGCAGGGCUGCCGCGGGCCCGCAGCGAGGCUGAGCGGAGCUCUGCUGUCCUGGCGACACUAGAUGUCACUCCGACACCGCAGAACGGCCCUGGCAGAGGCAGCGCUGCGAGUUGGGGAGCCGCGGACUUGGGAGCUGCA